CAGAGACUGACUUCUACAGAGGCAAGAGCCUCAUGUAAAUGUGUUGACUCUGAUGCAUGGUGCAUCCCAUAGAGACAACCCUGUAUCCUGUAGGCUCGGAUACUGUCCUCUCAUAGCAAGGUUCCACUCUGAUGCAUGGUGCAUCCCAUAGAGACAACCCUGUAUCCUGUAGGCUCGGAUACUGUCCUCUCAUAGCAAGGUUCCACUCUGAUGCAUGGUGCAUCCCAUAGAGACAACCCUGUAUCCUGUAGGCUCGGAUACUGUCCUCUCAUAGCAAGGUUCCACUCUGUCCUCUCAUAGCAAGGUUCCACUCUGAUGCAUGGUGCAUCCCAUAGAGACAACCCUGUAUCCUGUAGGCUCGGAUACUGUCCUCUCAUAGCAAGGUUCCACUCUGAUGCAUGGUGCAUCCCAUAGAGACAACCCUGUAUCCUGUAGGCUCGGAUACUGUCCUCUCACAGUAAGGUUCCACUCUGAUGCAUGGUGCAUCCCAUAGAGACAACCCUGUAUCCUGUAGGCUCGGAUACUGUCCUCUCACAGUAAGGUUCCACUCUGAUGCAUGGUGCAUCCCAUAGAGACAACCCUGUAUCCUGCAGGCUCGGAUACUGUCCUCUCACAGUAAGGUUCCACUCUGAUGGACAGAUGGUGGUGACUGUUACUCACAUUACAGCCAGUGACACAACGACCAGCUAGACAGACUGCAUCCCCACAGGGCUCUGGUCAAAAGUAGUGCACUAUCUAGGGAAUAGGGUGGUGUUUUGGAGGGACCCUAUAAAUCACUACAGCAAAUGCAUGUCAUACCCUAGCGGUCGUACGUACUGUACCUAAUAGGACCAUUUAUUAUUAUUAUGUUAAUUGACAUGGAAUUUCAUGGGUUUUUUUAUUAUCGUUUUAACAGAAAAACAAUAAAACAAUGACUGUUUAAACGUUAAGAAAUUCCAUUCCAUUGGUCACACCCCUACUUGGGAUAUAAUUUUUC